rnacentral:rRNA from 1 species
AACGAACGCUGGCGGCAUGCCUAACACAUGCAAGUCGAACGAGACCUUCGGGUCUAGUGGCGCACGGGUGCGUAACGCGUGGGAAUCUGCCCUUGGGUUCGGAAUAACUCUCCGAAAGGAGUGCUAAUACCGGAUAAUGUCGCAAGACCAAAGAUUUAUUGCCCAAGGAUGAGCCCGCGUAGGAUUAGCUAGUUGGUGAGGUAAGGGCUCACCAAGGCGACGAUCCUUAGCUGGUCUGAGAGGAUGAUCAGCCACACUGGGACUGAGACCACGGGCCCGAGUCCUACGAGAGGCAGGAGUGGGGAAUAUUGGACAAUGGGCGAAAGCUUGAUCAAGCAAUGCCGCGUGAGUGAUGAAGGCCUUAGGGGUGUAAAGCGCUUUUACCCGGGAUGAUAAUGACAGUACCGGGAGAAUAAGCUCCGGCUAACUCCGUGCCAGCCGCCGCUGUAA